GGAGCCUGGUGUUUCCCUUCUCCCCUUGUCUUAGUCAGGGCUGCUGUAACGAAUCACCAUGGACUGGGUGCCUUACACAACUAACAUUUCUCUCCCACAGUUCUGGAGGCUGGGAGGUUCCAGAUGAGGUGCCUGCAGCUUCAGUUCUUGGUGAGGGGUCCCUCCUGGCUUGCAGAUGGCUGCCUUCUCACGUGUGCUCUUGUGACCUCUUCUUUGCGUGCUGAGGAGAGAGCGCCUGUUCUCCUAAGGCACUAAUCCCAUCGUGGUGGCACACGCGCGUGACCUCGGCUAAACCUAAGUACCUUCCAGAGGCCCCUUCUUCAAACCGCACCACAUUGGGACUUAGGGCUUCAAUAUAUGAGUUUUGGGGGGGACACAUUCAGUCCACAGCACCCCUCGUCUUCCCUGCAGACCGUGGGCCCCAGAGCUGUUGACUCCAGUGCAAAGUGAGGCACUGGGUAGGUGCUCAGUAAACACUUGUUGAGCGGGAAGCAGUUGAAUGAGCCCUGGUUUUGUGAAGUCUCUGAGGACUUGGGCUUUCCUUUCUGUCCAGAAGGAGGACUGCGGAACGUACUGAAACCCCGGGGUGCCCAGGAGGAGGAGGAGCUAUGCGGGUCUGGAUCAGCUUUGUGGUGUCUGGUGAAACAACUUCUCUUAAGGAUAAAUAGAGGAAAGAGAUGGAUGUCAGAGAGAGGAAGCCCCAGGUUUGCGUCUUGGUGCUGCCAUGGAGAGGCUGUGCGACCUGGGCAGGUCCGGUGAUUCCCUCCCCGCCCUUCUGUGAGGGGGUGACACUGAUCUCAUGGGGGUGCUGGGAGGAGGCAGGGAGCAGCAUACAUACAUCACUAGCAUACCUCGAGGUGCCGGAAAAGGUUUCCCUUUCUUAAAUUAACGCUUUAUCUGUGCCAAAGGAAGCUUUCACUGGGAUGUGGGCGAUGAAGAGAGCAGAUAUAGGAGGGCUGAGUGCACGUGAAUCCCAAACGCAGAGAGUCUCAGGUUGGCUGAAGAUUGCAAAUUUACCAGAAACUUUGCUGUUUUUGAAGAUGAGCGGGCUAGAGGAACAGUCAGAAUUAGUGGAGAUUCAACAAUACCCUGGACGUUCAUUGACCAACUAUUACUGAUCAACUACUGUGCGCCAGGCUCUGUGAAGACACCAACUAGAUAGAGCUGAAUAGGAUGCUGGCCUUGCCUUCCAGAAGCUCACAAUCCAAUGGAUGAGCCAUUGCAUCUAUAAUAUCUAUCUGUCUGUCUGUCUAUCUAUCUAUCUAUCAUCUAUCUACCAUCUAUCUAUCUUUAUUUAUAUCUAUAUCUAUAUGUAGAUAUCUAUGUGUCUGUCUAUAUCUCUUUAUCUCCCUAUCUAUCCAUCUCUAUCUGUGUGUAGAUAACAUAGAAAGAAAUGCAGUAUGAUGUCCAAGCAUCAUGAUAAAGGGGUGUGGAAGGUGUCACAAGCCCAGUGAGGUAGGCAAAUGCCCCAUCCAAGUUGGGAUGGGCUAGAGGUCCGAGUACAUACUUUCUAGGCUGCCAGGAAGGCGAAGAGCAAUCCAGGCUGAAGAAAUCAUGCGUUCUUAGUUCCUUGUUCCUUAGUGCUGCUCUCUAGCCCUCAUCCCUUCGCCCCUCAGCGCCAGCCACUUGGUGAGUGCUAAAUACGUGUUCCCUGAGUGCAGUAACUGGAGAACAGUCUGAUGUAAGAGCCUUGUUCAGGCGUGAGAAGGCUGGGGCGGUGGUGUGGAACAAGGUCAUCGUCCCUGGGCAGACCAUGGCAGCAUUCUGUUCUUUCUCAAUCUCUUCCUUUGCUGACAGGGAACGUCAGAACCUUCUUUGACUCUCCUUGUUUUCAAGGAGCUGAGCCAUCAAACUUGGUUCCAGUUCUCCUCUCUUUCCUUCUCACCUCCUUACGUCAGUUGAACCUCUUGUUUCACUACCGUCAUCACCCAUGUUUUCCUCUCUCUCUUUGGCUGCAUCCUUGCCCCAUUCCCCAGGCCAAUAUGCUAGAGAUAAUCAUUGUAUUAUUUGUCUGAGAGCUGUCUUGUCUUCCUCCUUCUCCCCCCAACCACAAGCGCACGCACACCUGCACACACACACACACAGACACAAACACACACACACUCUCCAAACUCAGAAAGUUCAUGCUGUAUUAGUUUCCUGGAGCUGCCAUAACAAUGUAUCACAAACCCAGUGGCUUAAAACAGCAGAAAUCUGUUCUCUCACCGUUCUGGAGUCCAGGCGUCCAAAAUCAAGGUGUCAGCAGGGCCAUGUUCUCUCAAAGGCUCUAGGUGAGGGUCCUUCCUUGCCACUUCCUCACUUCUGGGGGUCACCGACACUCCUUGGCGUUUCUGGGCUUGUGGCAGCAUCACUGCCAGGUCUGCCUCCCUCUUCACACAGCCACCUUCUCUUUGUGCACAUCUCUAUCUAAAUGUCCCGCUCCUUAUAAGGACACCAGUCAUGCUUAGGGCCCACACUUACCCAGUGUGUCCUCCUUUUAACUUGAUUACAUCUGCAAAGACUCUAUUUCCAAAUAACGUCACGUUCACAGGUACUGGGGUGAGGACUUCAACAUCUUUUUUGGGCACACAACGCAAUGGAUGACAGACGCCCUACCAUUGUAUCUUGCUUGGCAUUUUUCAAAGUACACUCACAAUCUCUGCGGAAGGCAGCUUUAGAACAUCUGGUUAAGAACCCACACUUUGCUGUGGAUCUAAGUUUAAGUCCUGCCUUUGCCCUUUAGGAUGCGACCUUGGGCAAUUGACUUUAGCUCUCUAAGCUUCAGCAUCUACCCCAUGGUUGCUACAUAUUGGAUACUUAGCACAGGACCUGACUCGUGGGACAUACUCCAAGAACCACAAGCCUCCUUGUCAUGCAGGCAGACUAUCCUCUUUCCUCCUUCACUUGCACAGCCGCAUGGACUUAAAGCAGAGCCUGACAUUGGACUUGAGAGUCCCAACGGAAUGCUCCACGUACGGAGGCCAACCCACUGUCAGCACAUUAAGCCCUCCGGGCUAGAAGAUGUCAAGUCAACUCAAGAUUUCCCUACAUGACAAGUUGAAAUUUCCUUUCUCCAUGUCCCUUCCUGUCCCUGUCUUGUCUGUAUGCCAAAGUUAAAGUGGCAUAGUGUAACUGUUAAGAAAACAAACUUGAAAGUGGGGUAGGACGUGUGAGCCUGGAUCACCCAGACAAAUGCUCUUUGCACACAGCUCCCCUCUCCCCUCCACUUUCUGUUUGUCCUGUAGGCAGGCAGAGUCCCCACGGGGUGGGACAGAACUCCCCCGCCCUGGCUUUCUGCUGAUUUCAUGCUCUUCGACUGUGGUGUGGCUCUCAAGGGGUGGCUGGUAAAGACAAGCCACUAUUUGUUGUUGAAAAAACAAAUGAAAAGGAAAAAAAUCCAGUCUUUUA